GGAGAGGUGUCCGAGUGGACUAAGGAGCACGACUCGAAAUCGUGUGACCCUCGCGGGUCCGUGGGUUCAAAUCCCACCCUCUCCG
rnacentral:tRNA from 2 species